ACCUUGAUCAGUUGUAAUAGCUGAGUCCUAGCAGACAGCCAUCCAUCUGGAAUUCACUGCUGCAAAAGAAAAUAAGACUAUUACGGAUUUCUUCUCAUCUCUUGCAGGAUAUGCUUGUCAUUAAUGAUCUUCUGGGAUCCACUGGGGACUUACCGGAUAUAUCUGUCACGGACGGUCACAGCGCAGUUGGACAUGCUGCUUUACCAGAAUCCAGUGAAUACAGGCAAAGAUCAGGAAACAACCUGGAGAAUAAAGACCCUGGACAGAUUUUCAAGCUAGUGUAAAAAUGUUCAGCACCUCACAAAUAGGAGGGCACCCUGGGACAAGCCAGCUAACUACAGCGACCUUUGCAGGAUUAUGCUCCUGCAACAGCCUGCACACACUGGCAUGAACCCUUGCACAAAGAACAUAAGCAGUGCCCUGAGGCUUCUGUUAUUCUUGUCUGGAGAACUGAAACAUGACUAAUAUGAGGUGCAACGAACAUGCUCUUUACUCCCUUGUCUGGCUAUUGAAAAUACACCACAAUUUUCCCUUUUCAGAGGCCUAGAUUCAGAGAAGAAAGAUAAGACCAGAUCCACACAAACCUGUAGGCAGGUUAACUGCCUUUCCUACUUUUUAGCAAUUUCAUAAUAUUGUCUCAUGAGGAAAAUUCAUAAAUCCAAUUUGGCAAUUUGAGAGAGGAAUUUAUAACACAUAAAACAGUCCACAGGAUUAGAUUAAGUUUAUUUAUAGCAGAUUAUGAGGAGCUUGCUAUGAGGAAGACUUUUGCUUUCCUAAAAGAUUCUCAUUAGGAAAUAAUUUAAUUUUUUUUUGCAAUUUUGUAUCAAGAAUUUAAUGGCUUAAAUCAUAAUCAAUAAUAGGAGAUAAUUAUACCUUUAAAAAUAAUAUUAAAAAAAUACUAACUCUCUUCUUGACUCCAAUGCAAAUUCAGUAAUUUGGCUAUAUAAAUUAUCCAAACUCAGGCUCAACUUUUUCUUCCAAGAAGUAGUUAGAGGAGUCUGGCAGGCACUGGCCAUUUUAAUUGAUUCAGUUACUUAGUUGUUACAGUGUUUGUCAAGGAGGUGAAAAACCUCUACAGGAUGGGAACUGACCCACAUUUCUCUUGUCCCUCAGCAGAGCGGCUGGUUGCAAGCUAUAAAGAAAAAGGUGAUUAUCCUUCUCUUUGCCAUAUGUACUAGUAUAGCAGAAUGCAAAUUUCAAAGGGGAGAAAUUGAGUGAAUAAGAAAAUGGGAGUAUGACUACAUGGCCCAGAAAUAAGGCCACUCCCUGGCAAGGGAAAUUUUGAUACAUGGUCAUAAAAUUAUUUAUUCAUUUUAUCCAUUGUUUUUUAAAUGCAAAAUGCAGACACAUUCUCAGACUUCUAUGCUGAGAUGGCUACACCCUUGUCUGUACUGAAGCUACUCUAAAGUGACUUCUGUCUGUUUACAGAAGUUGUACUCAUACAAAUGACUGCAACAUUGAUUUAUCUUUAAGCUUUAAAGCUGUCUGUCUCUCCUCAGGCACUGUCUAGAGAACCUGGAUGCGUUAGUCAAGACUGUGAGAAUCCCCUAAACAAUAAUGCUCAGGUAUUGCAGUGUUCAGUGAUGAGACAGCCAAGUGUUGCAGCUCCAGCUCUGUAUGAAUAACCAUGACUGAUGCAAACAGAUUCACAAAGUAGCUGUUAGCAAACCAGCAUAGGAUGUCUACCCUCUGCUUAUCCAUUGUAACAGUAGGACAACAAUCAGAGCCAUAUUUCUAUGGAGAGUACUGGGUAGCUCUCUAGAAAAAAAAAAAAAAAGUAAAAAAAUCUAUGAACAAGUAACAAAUCAGCUGUAGAAAGCUCUAAGAUAUUUUAACUGGAGCUGGUGACAUAUUCAGCUCUUACACUACAGCAUAAAUAGCUUUUCUCUUUUUGAUUUAUUUUUUUCUGGGUAAGGCAUAAAAGCUACUUCAGCAUAUUUCCUUAUUCUUAGUUCUCAGAGUUUAUUCUUUGUAUCUCAGUGUUGUCACUUCUGAUACCAUAGACCAGCUGUAUACACACUAUUUGUUGCUGGAGGCACUGCACACUCUUGGGAAAUAAGAGGUAGAAUCAAGGGUUUCCUUUUCCUAGGAAGAUGAUAAUCAAUUUUAAUUGAGAAAAGAUAAAAUAAAUGGUGCACAAGCUCGCUAAAUCUUGUACA
rnacentral:lncRNA from 1 species